rnacentral:rRNA from 1 species
UACGGGGGGAGCAAGCGUUGUUCGGAUUUACUGGGCGUAAAGGGCGCGUAGGCGGCCACCGCAAGUCGGUUGUGAAAUCUCCGGGCUUAACCCGGAAAGGUCAAUCGAUACUGCGGGGCUAGAGUGCAGAAGGGGCAACUGGAAUUCUCGGUGUAGCGGUGAAAUGCGUAGAUACUGGGAGGAACACCGGUGGCGAAGGCGGCUACCUGGACCGGAACUGACGCUGAGGCGCGAAAGCGUGGGUAGCAAACAGG